AGCUCCUAAGCUGGGUGAAAUUCUGCCUUGGAUCUGGUGCUGGGUAGGGGAGCCAAGGCAGUGGGGUGAAGGCUACUCUUGGGAUCCCCACCAUCUAUGGAACAUGGGGAAUUGGGUCUAUACUAUGCUGAGCCGCAGAACCCAAACUGGGAGCUGGUAUGGAAAAAAGAUGCUUUGCAACAUACUGGUAUAUAUUUAUAUUUUUCUUGUUGUUUUAUUUUAUUUAUUUAUUUAUUUUUGGUAUAGCUGUUGGGGGAAAAACAGCCAGCACAUCCCAAGCGUCACUUCUAUGGUCCCUCCCUGUUGUCUUUGGGGGGGCUGUGGGAUCUGCCAAAAGGAUGCAGUACUCAAACCACAAAGUGCCUGCUUUCCUUCCAGUGUGGGUGGAAACUCCGCGAUAGCCAACAAGGAUCCUGGAGUCUCAUGCCUUCCCCAUCAUUGCUCUGGUUGUGCUCCUGUGAGCUCAAGACCCGUCUCACAUCACGUACAUCUCAGCUGGAAAGAGGAAUUAAAGAUCUUGCA
ensembl:lncRNA